AUGUUUUGCUGGCCGCUGACUGUGAAGGUGUGUAAGUGCUUUACUGGAUCAGCGCCAGCACCUUACAAGCCUGACCUCGGAGAGCUGGGAUCCCCUGCCCUGCCUCCUGAUGUGACGAUGACCUUGCUUACAUCAGAGUCGCGUGGUUGCAUGAAGGAGCGGUUCUUCAGAAACAGACAGCAUUCAGGAGUGCUGGUAGCCCUGCUCCAUGCCUCCUUCCUGGGUGAUGUGUUGGCUUUCUUCUUACUGAAUAAUGUUACAGUGCAAUGGAGACGUGUAUGAGACCUGUCAGAUGAGCUGGAUCUCCUGCAGGAUCUCCAAGGAUGCAGCAGAGGGUAGGGUACCUGUAUUUUCUUCCCCUGUAAAAAUAAGGGACGAUCUGGCUCUUGGGAUAUAUUUAGUCCUCAACCCAGGAAAUCUGUCAGUGAAGUCAGUGGGGGUUUUGCUUGAGUAAGUAUUGAGUAAAGACUGAAGGCUUUGGCCUAACAUUUAUAUCAAAUAUGGCCUUCCCAAAUUCGUUAAUUCCUAUUUUAAAAUUAUAUUGUCCAUAUCUCUCUUUACUGUCCCUGAAUCCUUUUGCACACUCUCACCAUUAACACUCCCAGUCACAGGUACCUGGAAAUGUAUUUUAUCAUCUGUAAUGCAUUCCACCUGACUCAUAUUCAUAACCCACUGCAAGGUACUGGGAUGGAGAGCAUGGCCAUGGGUUACUAAACACUGGAUUUAUAAAAUGUGAAGAAAGAAAU
rnacentral:lncRNA from 1 species